UAACACGUAGGAGGCAAGCGUUAUUCGGAUUUACUGGGCGUAAAGCGCGUGUAGGCGGUUCGGAGAGUUGGAUGUGAAAGCUCCUGGCUUAACUGGGAGAGGCCGUUCAAUACUUCCGGACUUGAGGAUGGUAGAGGAAGAUGGAAUUCCGAGUGUAGUGGUGAAAUGCGCAGAUAUUCGGAGGAACACCAGUGGCGAAAGCGAUCUUCUAGACCAUAACUGACGCUCAGACGCGAAAGCUAGGGUAGCAAACGGGAUUAGAGACCCCGGUAGUCCUAGCUGUAAACGAUGUAGACUAGGCGUUGGUGGGUUCAAAUCCAUCAGUGCCGGAGCAAACGCGAUAAGUCUACCGCCUGGGGACUACGGCCGCAAGGUUAAAACUCAAAGGAAUUGACGGGGGCCCGCAC
rnacentral:rRNA from 1 species